UGCAAGUCGAACGAACUUCCGUUAAUUGAUUAUGACGUACUUGUACUGAUUGAGAUUUUAACACGAAGUGAGUGGCGAACGGGUGAGUAACACGUGGGUAACCUGCCCAGAAGUAGGGGAUAACACCUGGAAACAGAUGCUAAUACCGUAUAACAGAGAAAACCGCAUGGUUUUCUUUUAAAAGAUGGCUCUGCUAUCACUUCUGGAUGGACCCGCGGCGUAUUAGCUAGUUGGUGAGGUAAAGGCUCACCAAGGCAGUGAUACGUAGCCGACCUGAGAGGGUAAUCGGCCACAUUGGGACUGAGACACGGCCCAGACUCCUACGGGAGGCAGCAGUAGGGAAUCUUCCACAAUGGACGCAAGUCUGAUGGAGCAACGCCGCGUGAGUGAAGAAGGGUUUCGGCUCGUAAAGCUCUGUUGUUAAAGAAGAACGUGGGUAAGAGUAACUGUUUACCCAGUGACGGUAUUUAACCAGAAAGCCACGGCUAACUACGUGCCAGCAGCCGCGGUAAUACGUAGGUGGCAAGCGUUAUCCGGAUUUAUUGGGCGUAAAGCGAGCGCAGGCGGUCUUUUAAGUCUAAUGUGAAAGCCUUCGGCUCAACCGAAGAAGUGCAUUGGAAACUGGGAGACUUGAGUGCAGAAGAGGACAGUGGAACUCCAUGUGUAGCGGUGAAAUGCGUAGAUAUAUGGAAGAACACCAGUGGCGAAGGCGGCUGUCUGGUCUGCAACUGACGCUGAGGCUCGAAAGCAUGGGUAGCGAACAGGAUUAGAUACCCUGGUAGUCCAUGCCGUAAACGAUGAUUACUAAGUGUUGGAGGGUUUCCGCCCUUCAGUGCUGCAGCUAACGCAUUAAGUAAUCCGCCUGGGGAGUACGACCGCAAGGUUGAAACUCAAAAGAAUUGACGGGGGCCCGCACAAGCGGUGGAGCAUGUGGUUUAAUUCGAAGCUACGCGAAGAACCUUACCAGGUCUUGACAUCUUCUGACAGUCUAAGAGAUUAGAGGUUCCCUUCGGGGACAGAAUGACAGGUGGUGCAUGGUUGUCGUCAGCUCGUGUCGUGAGAUGUUGGGUUAAGUCCCGCAACGAGCGCAACCCUUAUUACUAGUUGCCAGCAUUAAGUUGGGCACUCUAGUGAGACUGCCGGUGACAAACCGGAGGAAGGUGGGGACGACGUCAAAUCAUCAUGCCCCUUAUGACCUGGGCUACACACGUGCUACAAUGGAUGGUACAACGAGUCGCGAGACCGCGAGGUUAAGCUAAUCUCUUAAAACCAUUCUCAGUUCGGACUGUAGGCUGCAACUCGCCUACACGAAGUCGGAAUCGCUAGUAAUCGCGGAUCAGCAUGCCGCGGUGAAUACGUUCCCGGGCCUUGUACACACCGCCCGUCACACCAUGAGAGUUUGUAACACCCAAAGCCGGUGGGGUAACC
rnacentral:rRNA from 1 species